AGGUUAACAUUCCUGUACCGAUCAUUAUUGCGAUGGGGUGACGGAGAAGGCUAGGCUGGCCUGGUGUUGGUUAUCCAGGUUUAAGCACGUAGGCCGCGAUCUUAGGCAAAUCCGGGAUCGCCCCUUUAGUGGGAAGGCCGAGAUGCGAUGACGAACCGCCCUUAUACGGGCGGGAAGUAGUUGAUGCCACGCUUCCAAGAAAAACCUCUAAGCUUCAGAUAAUGACCGACCGUACCCCAAACCGACACAGGUGGUCAGGUAGAGAAUACCAAGGCGCUUGAGAGAACUCGGGUGAAGGAACUAGGCAAAAUGGCACCGUAACUUCGGGAGAAGGUGCGCCGCUUUGGGUGAAGGGACUUGCUCCCGGAGCCUAGGGCGGUCGAAGAUACCAGGUGGCUGCGACUGUUUAAUAAAAACACAGCACUCUGCAAACACGUAAGUGGACGUAUAGGGUGUGACGCCUGCCCGGUGCCGGAAGGUUAAUUGAUGGGGUUAGCUUCGGCGAAGCUCUUGAUCGAAGCCCCGGUAAACGGCGGCCGUAACAAUAACGGUCCUAAGUAGCGAAAUUCCUUGUCGGGUAAGUUCCGACCUGCACGAAUGGCGUAACGAUGGCCACACUGUCUCCACCCGAGACUCAGUGAAAUUGAAAUCGCGGUGAAGAUGCCGUGUACCCGCGGCUAGACGGAAAGACCCCGUGAACCUUUACUAUAGCUUCACACUGGACUUUGACUUAACUUGUGUAGGAUAGGUGGGAGACUUUGAAGCGGUGACGCCAGUCAUCGUGGAGUCGUCCUGGAAAUACCACCCUGGUUACGUUGGGGUUCUAACUCUGGCCCGUUAUCCGGGUCGAGGACAGUGUGUGGUGGGUAGUUUGACUGGGGCGGUCUCCUCCCAAAGAGUAACGGAGGAGCACGAAGGUGCACUCAGCAUGGUCGGAAAUCAUGCGUUGCGUGUAAAGGCAGAAGUGCGCUUGACUGCGAGCCCGACGGGGCGAGCAGGGUCGAAAGACGGUCUUAGUGAUCCGGUGGUUCUGUAUGGAAGGGCCAUCGCUCAACGGAUAAAAGGUACUCCGGGGAUAACAGGCUGAUUCCGCCCAAGAGUUCACAUCGACGGCGGUGUUUGGCACCUCGAUGUCGGCUCAUCACAUCCUAGGGCCGAAGCCGGUCCCAAGGGUAUGGCUGUUCGCCAUUUAAAGUGGUACGCGAGCUGGGUUUAGAACGUCGUGAGACAGUUCGGUCCCUAUCUGCCGUGGGCUAUGAAAUUUGAGAGGAGCUGCUCCUAGUACGAGAGGACCGGAGUGGACGAACCUCUGGUGUUCCGGUUGUCACGCCAGUGGCACUGCCGGGUAGCUAUGUUCGGACGGGAUAACCGCUGAAAGCAUCUAAGCGGGAAGCCUCCCUCAAGAUGAGAUCUCACUGGACCUUCGGGUCCCUAAAGGGUCCUCGUAGACUACGAGGUUGAUAGGCAGGGUGUGUAAGCGCUGUGAGGCGUUGAGCUAACCUGUACUAAUUGCCCGUGAGGCUUGACCAA
rnacentral:rRNA from 1 species